rnacentral:misc_RNA from 1 species
AACGCAAAUUGCACUCUCCGGUUUUCCGGGAGAGUAUGCCUGUUUGAGGGUCAGCCUAAAAAAAAUCGACAUUGUUACUGUUAUUUAUUUCAUGGUGACUUUCGUCGGAGAUUGGGUUAUCUUAAACCUUUUGCUGUGGUUUAAGCGACUUAAAAUUUUUUCUUCACGAUUCCAUGAACGUGUUUCUAAGACUUAUUUCUUACACGUUUAAGGUAUCGAUCUUUAUUAGACGUGCCCGUCACAUCGGAUCGCGUCCAUAAUUUUUCGUUAACUGACCUCAGACAGGUAAGAGUACCCGCUGAACUUAA